AACUUGACAACACACCGGCACUCUGGACAUCUGCCAAAGGAUCUGAUUUUACUGCUCAGAAACAAGCCAGUUUUAUACCAGCUACUAGACAAUAAUGAAGAAAAGAUUCUGCACAGCAGAGUUUGUUUCACUUACUUGUUGAACAGCACAGCCGACUAAACUGUUUCAGUAAUAAUGGUUAUUGACAAUGUCAAUAUGGACUCCAUCCAAGUGGUCCCUGUGGAAGGCUGGAGCACCAAGUAUAUGGUUCAUAUUCUACGGUUCUUUCCUUCUGUUACAGUUGUUACAUUUGAGAGAAAUCAAAUUACAAUCAAAACUAAUUCUACAGAGAAUAUCUUUGUCUGGCAUAGAGGGAUGGUCUACAAAUACACUUCUAAGAUAACAGCAGUGUUGAAACAAUAAAUUCAAGCAGCAGCCUGGGCUAUCUGAGGACCAACAAGCCUGUUCAAGUCAUGUAUGUCUUCCUGGCGUCAUGUGAUGGCAUCCCUUCCAAAAGUGGAUUGUCUGCUAUGAGUUUGGUGGUUCCUAUUGGACUUUUUAUGGAUGCCUAUUACUGGUUUACAUCUGAUGUGUCGCUGUUUCGUCUUCAUCAUUUCCUUAUCUAUAUAUGUCAACUGGAGGAUGUGUCUGACCUCCGACUGAAUACAGAACCUAUUCAAAUAAACCAGACAGG